rnacentral:rRNA from 1 species
GAUGAACGCUAGCGGCAGGCUUAAUACAUGCAAGUCGAGGGGCAGCAUGAUUGUAGCAAUACAAUUGAUGGCGACCGGCAAACGGGUGCGGAACACGUACACAACCUCCCAAUAAGUGGGGAAUAGCCCAGAGAAAUUUGGAUUAAUACCCCGUAACAUAACGAUGUGGCAUCACAUUGUUAUUAUAGAUUGUUCGCUUAUUGAUGGGUGUGCGGCUGAUUAGAUAGUUGGCGGGGUAACGGCCAACCAAGUCUACGAUCAGUAGCUGAUGUGAGAGCAUGAUCAGCCACACGGGCACUGAGACACGGGCCCGACUCCUACGGGAGGCAGCAGUAAGGAAUAUUGGACAAUGGACGCAAGUCUGAUCCAGCCAUGCCGCGUGAAGGAUUAAGGUCCUCUGGAUUGUAAACUUCUUUUAUAAGGGACGAAAAAAGGCUUUUCUAAGUCGUCUGACGGUACCUUAUGAAUAAGCACCGGCUAACUCCGUGCCAGCCGCCGCCGUAACAC